CUUGCGUUAAAGUAAGAAAAGUCGCUAUAGAGCAAAAGUGAUCAUGAUUCACAGGUGUUACAUAAAUCGCAGGUUUAGACAACGUACAUAGAUUCAAUAAU